AUGAAAAUGACUUUCAUUUUCCUCAACACCUGAGCAGGGAGGCUGAUGACAUCCACUGACCGGCUACUGCACCUGGACUUCCACAGAACGAUCUAAAAGAGGCAGACUGGAAGCAGUGCAGAGGUGCACAAAGAGACGACCUUGAAGGGAAAUCAAGUCUAAAGAAGAGCUGAUCAUGGACUACGCUGAACGUAUCUUGUCGCUUACCACAACCAUCAAAAAGAUGGCUGACACUAUGAAGUCCAAUAAGGAGCGCUGCAGAAGGAUUGCAGAAAGAGUCCAAGCUGUGGAAAGGCUGGUUUUAACCAUCACACAGAGUGAUCCAAGCCAAAUCUCUGAUACUGUUGAUGGAGCUCUGAGGGAACUCUACGUCAUCUUGAACUCUGCCAAGGAUCUGAUAGCAAAAUUCUCUCAAACCAAGUCUGUUAAGACCUUCUUCAAGGCUGGAAACAUUGAAGAAAAGUUCAGCGAGGUGAACCAAAGGCUCACAGAGAACUUCCAGGUCCUUUCUGGUGCUCUGCAGAUUGAGCACACCAACAUGCUGCAAAAGGUGUAUGAAGCUGUUUCAAGACAAAGUACUGAGGAAGAGGUUUGCAGUAUGAUGGCUAAUACUAGUCUCACACCCCUGAUGCUUCCCUCUUCUUCAGUGUCAAGUCCCACAGAUUCUAUAUUUCCCCCUUGUCCAGUGUCACGCCCCGUAUAUCCUGAGUUUCCUCCCACACCUGUGUCCAGUCCUACAGCUUCUGUGCUUCCGCCUCUUCCAGUGUCCAGUCCUAUAGGUUUUAUACUUCCACCUGCCCCAUUGUCCAGUCCUACAGCUUCUAUGAGUCUGCCUGCUCCAUUGUCAGGGUCUCUAUAUGGGUGGCUGUAGCUCAGAAGGUAGAGCAGGUCACCUACUGAUCUGAAGGUCGGUGGUUCGAUCCCUGGCUCCAGUCUGUAUGUCAAGUAUCUUUGGGUAUGAUACUAACCCCAACUUGCUCUCCGAUGCAUCCAUCGGAGUACGAAUGUCGUUAGAAAGCACUAAGUGUAGAUAAAGUGCACUUAGUGCAUGGGUGUGAUUGGGUGAAUGAGGCAUGUUGUAUAGCUUUGAGUACUCUGUGAGAGUAGAAAAGCGCUAUAUAAGAAUCAGUCCAUUUACCAUUUAUAUCCUCAGCUUCCUCCCACACCAGUGUCUAGCCCUACAAAUCUUAUACUUCCCUCCAUACCAGUGUCUGCAACUUUUGCAGCCAAGCCUCUCUACAAUACUACAACAUCUCACUUUAUAUUAUUAUAGCUAAGAUAUUAUAGCAUUCUUAGCUAUAAUUAUAGCUAUUAAAGCUAAGAAUGAAACUAAACAUAAGACUGCAGUCAAGGUCAGUUUGGGACCAUCUUGCAAUGGGUUCACAUCAACCACACCAUGAGUGAGGCCUUCAUUUUGAUGUUAGCUACACAGUUAUGCUGAGUUUUGUGACUGUUUGGUCAUUUUAAUCUUUAAAGCGGACCCAUUAUCACUCAUUUGUAUUUGUCUGUGUUUCUCCUGAUUGGCUGCCCUUGUGAACAAAGUUGGUGCAGCUGGUGGGUGGGACUUCAAUUCAAUUCAAUUUUAUUCAUAUAGCGCCAAAUCACAACAAAAGUCACCUCAAGGCGCUUUAUAUUGUACAGUAGAUACAGAGAAAAACCCAACAAUCAUAUGACCCACUAUGAGCAAGCACUUUUGCAACAGUGGGAAGGAAAAACUCCCUUUUAACAGGAAGAAACCUCCGGCAGAACCAGGCUCAGGGAGGGGCGACCAUCUGCUGUGACCAGUUGGGAUGAGAGAAGGAAGGCAGGAUAAAGACUUCUGCCUGAUAUAACCUUAUUAGGGUUAUACCCUCUCACUGGUGUCACAUGUAGCAAAGAAUAGAAAAAACACCAUGUGAAGCAUCCUGAAGGCUGAGCUUUGUGCUCACAGAGAUUACUUGUACUUACCCAGAUCAUCAUUUGAAACUUCCGUAAAGUUUAAAAUGAGCAUCGACCAUCGAAACGCGAUAUAUAAGUGGUCACAUCUGACUGCAAAAAAACAAAUAUACAAGCAGCUAAAAUGCAAAUAUUGAGGCUCUAAGUGACAUCAUGGUGUGUCUUUACAUCUUUUAUAUACAGUCUGUGGUUACGACUUAAUAAGGCACUUUUAUGAUUUAAAAAAAUCCAGAAAGUCUAGCAGCUGAUAGAUAAUAAUAAAAAGAGUUGUGAGUACUUUGUUUUGGGAAAAUAUCUUCUUAGAUUUGGGGGGGGAUCACUUCUGUAUUCUCUCCUGGAAGGUCUUUAGCCUGUAGCAUAGUUAUGCUUGGUGACUGGGAAAUGAAUGUAUUUUACAGUCUUGGAAAAUUGUUUCGUGUAAGAAACUAGUGGAAGUAGCUUCUGUUGCUUUCUGUUGCAUUUCUUUUCAGUUUGAUAUAUUUUGCUUUAUUAUUCUUAAGUAAUUUACAACUUGUUUUGCUGGUGAACCUAUAAUAAAUCAUUUGUCCGUUCAUCCAAUCAAAUUCAAGCUGUCUGAGCGUUUUAUCUGAAGACUUUAUGGAUCAGCUGGCCAUCCUCUCACCUCUCAUCCAGUUACGGUUCUACUGCUUCUGCUGCCAAAAUAACAGCAACAUUCCAGUUUGCUAAAACACUAACACUGAGGCUUCAGAAUGAAUCAUAAACCUACAUUCAAUCAUUCAUUCAAGUUUAUAGCGACAGAAAGUUUGCACUAAAUAAAAAUACUGACUAAAUACGUUAAGCUCUCUGUUCUACAUGGAGUGAUUUUACAGUUAUCCUUAAGUGCAUCUCUUUUACUCCAUUCAGUGUACCUGCAUGAUGGUUAUGCACACCACUUACAGCUGUGAGAUUUCCUUUGCAAUGUUUUGCAAACAUCACAGGUAUUACUACUUUAGAAAAAUCACUGCAUGGCGGAUAACACAUAUUUUGGUGACCAUUUUCCUGAAACAUUUGUUACUCUGUGUUUAACAGACACAUCUUGGCCAAAUAGAAUGUGACUUGUUGGUAUUUCAGUGUGUUUUUGCUCUCACCUGGCUGGCUGUCAAAAAGUUGAUGAGAUGUUCUGAUCAGUGUUAAACAUAAUUUACUAUCAGCAAAAUCACAUAUGAAUAACUCACACAUGAAUUAUGGUUCUGUGUUCAACCAUCAAUAUCCCUUCCUUCAUUUAAAAUCAUGCAUCAUGAUGGUUUGGUGGCAGAGUUCUUAUCUUCUCACAUUCACGCUGUCACCCACUAAUCUACCAAGGUUGAAGUUGGAUCAUGCACACACACAAAAUUCAGACGUGAACAUUCGGUUUUUCUAGUGAAACUAGAUUUCUCAUUUAUAUACUGAUCAAAGAAUAAAUAAUAAAAAUGCUUUAUUAUUUUGAAAUAAGGAAAAGCUCUGUUUUCUUAAUCACAUAAGGCUGGAUGAGAGGAAUUUCUUUUUCUUUUGCAUAAGAACUUCAGAGAAAUAGAAAGUUGAGUCAGGAAACGUCUGUAAGACGAGGGCAGUAUCCUGUUUGCACAUGCAGAGAGUGAAUGAUGCAAAAACAGUGAGGUGCGUCAGUGAUGAUAUGAGGCUAUGAGCUUUCAGUGUCAUUCAAAGCUGUCAAAAACGUCAGUGUACACCCACACCAAGUAUUUGAAACUCCGAUGUUGCCUGACCGAAAAGUCACAGCAAAUCAACAUAUACUUUCUGUAAUUUUUUAAAAAGCACACAUCUUAUAACAUUUCAGUUUGGAUAUUAACUGUAAUUGUUUCUAAAUAGUAUGGAGUUAGGUUCAUAAGUAUUUGGACAGCUUUGUAGUUUUGCUUCUGUAUACCACCACAGUGGAUUCUAAACUAAGCCAUCAAGAUGUGUUUUUUUAUAUAUAUACUGUAUAUAUGAUGUAUAGAAGGGCUAUUGAAAUCUGAGACAAUAUUUUAAGACAGGAAUGAAGGUUACAUCUACGUUUCUCCUCUCUAAAUGAUCCGUAAUGUAACAAUAAGGACUACUUGUUUUAGCAAAAUCGAGUGGUAGUUAAAACCUAGACACUAAUGUUCACAAGUCUGAAUAUUGUGUGUGUGCAUGAUCCAACUUCAACCUUGGUAGAUUAGUGGGUGAGAAGAUAAGAUCAGUUCUGGCCUCCUGCUGGACAGAAGAACAAAUCAAAAUCAGCUGAUUCCAGUUUCCAAAUAAACUGCUGACAGAACAGAAACACAUUUGCUCUGACAGAAAGAGAAAACCUGAGUGAGGAUGUUGUGACUGGACGAACAAACCAGCUAAAUAAAUCAUUGAUGUACUCAAAACUGUGUGUGUGUUUGUGUCACAGUGAAAGUGGAGAGCUUCUGUACAUUGGAUGUGCAGCUGAAGUCAAAAGGUCAAAUUUCAUGUCAAAAAACUCUCAUUGUCUCAGUCUUUUGCCUUCUCUGGGAUCUUAAUGAUGUCACAGAGAAACGGUAUCGGUGAUAUCCACAAUGCCACAGACACAGAAGCCCCCCAACUAGUUAUUUAACCCUCUGUUUAUAAUAGGCAACCAAUGAGAAGAAUGUUGCUUUAAGGAGGGGAGGAGCUAAAACAUGUCAGCUCAGCUAGGUGAUGGACUGAGCAGCAAUAGAAAUACAGACCUGGAAAUGAGCAGAAUAACCCCAACUCCAAUAUUUUUAGCUGUAAACGUAUAACCUACACCUGACAGAUGAAACAUACCAAGAAAUGCUCUGUAAAACAGGUCCUGAUUACCAAGUGAAGAACUUGGACGUGAGGUGGGACUCUGGAAAAGCAAAGUCAGCAGUGGCUCGUAUUGAAGUUUGCGGCAGGAGAUGAGCUGACCCUCCAGCUCACUUUCAAGUGUCGCCUUGUUAAGGAUGGACUGACAGAACUCUGGCAUGUUGACUUUGCAGGCCUUUGUCAGCACGAGGUUCAAGUCUAGAAAGUAACAAACACAUAUAAAAGUGUAUUUUUUUUGUGUGUGUGUGUACCCCUGCCAUCUGUCCAUGCUGUUUAUUUGUGCCCUUGGUCUCUCCCUAUUCUUUUCAUUGUCUAGUUUUUUUUUAGUGGGUUUGUCAUUCCUUUUGUUUAUGAGGAUCAUUUGUGUUUAAGCUUCGUUUCGUUUGUAAUGUAGGUCGUAUUGUUUCUAUUUAUCCUGAUGUCAUUUGUUAUGUCCUCCACCACUCUCUGUUUGUCUUUUGCCUUCCAAGUCCUGCUUCUUAGGUUAUGUUUGGCUAUGGCCUCUGUGUGUCUUGUGACACUAAAUACUACAUAGACAAGAGUCUAUGUAGUAUUUAGUUAAUCUCUUUUUAUAUUCCUAUUCUGUUCCUCCAGUCUUGUCAUUAUCUGUUUGUCUCGCUUGUUACUGUGUUUAGUUGUAUCAUGUUAAUGUUUCCCCGUGCAGUUAUGUCUGUCUUCAUGUUUUAUUUUGGUAAUUGCUUUCUUUUCAUCAUAUGUUAAGUUUUAAUUCCUCCCAACUGUCCUCAGUUGUUCCCACAUUACCUCUCCCCUUGCUAUCCUGUGUGUGUGUGUGUGUGUGUGUGUCUUUGUCCUUUUUGUUACAUUGUUCCUGUCACGGACCCGGUUCCUGGGACUCGGGGUCCGUGAGCAGUGUGGACCGUUGUUGUUGUUAUUAUUAUUAUUAUUGUAUUGGAUGUAUGUUUUCUGCACUGUGCUCUUGUGUUCCAUGCUGGUGGGUGUAUAUGUGUGCGGGUGUGUCUGCGGGUGUGGCUGGAGGAUGAAGGACAGCCAUCUGCAGGCCUUAUGGGUGUGGCCCCGCCAGCUCCCGGUCACGCCCAGGUUCUCACACACCUGCUUCUGAUCAGGCUCGUCAGGGGAGCUACAUAACAGAGCGAUGGGGCUUCCUCUGGCGUAGGAUCGUUGAGUUAGACUCCAUGAGGAGAGCGGAACACAGGACUGCAGGACGCACAGGGGUGUGCGUAGGCACAGGGGCAGAGAGCACAGGAUACCAGCACUUAGGGGAAGACACGUCACGGGAGUCAAGGGAGCGCUCUGGAGAUCUAUGGUGUGGUGUACAUUUACCUCACUGUAAAUAAAUGCACUGCUCAUUCCACUAAGUCCAGCGUUUGGGUCCUAUCUCCAACAUUCCCCACGGUCUGCCUGCCAGACCGUGACAGUUCCUCAUGUUUUGAACUCUCUCUGUGUUUCCUACUGUGUAUAUCAGUCUCACAUCAUAAAACAUGAUGAGUGAUACAGUAAUGCACUUUAGUAUUUUGGAUAUCUGAAGUAUGUUAGCGUCAUACUAGAUCUUUUUCUGUUCCUUUCUUUA